UGACACCCAACGCCAGACACGAGAAUGGGGGACUCCAUGAGGGACACUAUUCAGGGGACCAAAGUAGAAAAAAGAAAAGGUAAUAGAGGACCCGACAAUGUGGGAACCUGCCAUACCGCACUGAAUCUCAGUAAGUGAAUAGCGAUAUGAGACAAGAAAUUAGCUAAUAUGAGAUUUUUGUCGAAAAUUUAGUAAAAGCUUUAAAGGCUCAGGGAGUAAAGGUUAACACUGAGCAAUUAUGUCAAUACUUUGAUUUUAUAAAAGAUGUUUGCCCUU
rfam:Cavia porcellus supercont2_46 genomic scaffold, whole genome shotgun sequence.